rnacentral:rRNA from 1 species
ACUCAAAUGAAUUGACGGGGGCCCGCACAAGCAGCGGAGCAUGGGGUUUAAUUCGACGCGACGCGAAGAACCUUACCUGGGCUUGACAUGUCAGCGACCGCCGUGGAAACACGGCUUCCCUUCGGGGCGCUGUCACAGGUGGUGCAUGGCUGUCGUCAGCUCGUGUCGUGAGAUGUUGGGUUAAGUCCCGCAACGAGCGCAACCCCCGUCGUAUGUUGCCAGCAUUUAGUUGGGGACUCAUACGAGACUGCCGGUGACAAACCGGAGGAAGGUGGGGAUGAGGUCAAGUCAUCAUGCCCCUUAUGUCCAGGGCUACACCCGUGCUACAUUGGCACGUACAGAGGGUUGCGAUACCGCGAGGUGGAGCGAAUCCCUUAAAGCGUGUCUCGGUUCGAAUUGCAGGCUGAAACUCGCCUGCAUGAAGGCGGAGUUGCUAGUAAUCGCGGAUCAGCAAUGCCGCGGUGAAUACGUUCCCGGGCCUUGCACACACCGCCCGU